rfam:Picea glauca, whole genome shotgun sequence.
GUACAUGGCUACAACAUGGCAUUAAUGCACUGGAUCCCAUUACAACUCUGCAUUAAGCGUGCUCUAGCUAGAGUAGUACUGGGAUGGGUGACCAUCCGUGAAGUCCUCGUAUGUUAUAUGCC